rnacentral:sRNA from 1 species
UUCAACAACCCUAAUCUAGCUAUCGCUUGAGAUUAGGGAUUGCCAGAGACAGGACUGGCAACGCAAGCGUUGAAUAGACCACGCUCGCCGUUAACUGAUACGCACUUCCGAAUACUUCCCCAGUUCGGAUCAACUGCAAGCCUACUUGUUUAGGCGCUUUAAGAGAGGACAUUUUGUUAACGGUGGUCGAGGGGACGUACAACUUACACGAG